rnacentral:rRNA from 1 species
AGAGUUUGAUCAUGGCUCAGAGCGAACGUUAGCGGCGGGCUUAACACAUGCAAGUCGAGCGAGAAAGGGGCUUCGGCCCUGAGUAAAGCGGCGGACGGGUGAGUAACACGUAGGUAAUCUUCCCUUGAGCGGGGGACAACGGUCCGAAAGGACCGCUAAUACCGCAUACGUUUCCAGGGAUCUCGGUCCUUGGAAGGAAAGCUAGGUCGCAAGAUCCGGCACUCGAGGAGGAGCCUGCGUCGCAUCAGCUAGUUGGUGGGGUAAUGGCCUACCAAGGCGAAGACGCGUAGCUGGUCUGAGAGGAUGAUCAGCCACACUGGGACUGAGACACGGCCCAGACUCCUACGGGAGGCAGCAGUGGGGAAUAUUGGACAAUGGGCGCAAGCCUGAUCCAGCCACGCCGCGUGAGUGAUGAAGGCCUUCGGGUCGUAAAGCUCUGUGGGGAGGGACGAACCGCUGCGCGUUCAUAGCGCGCAGCAUGACGGUACCUCCUUAGCAAGCACCGGCUAACUUCGUGCCAGCAGCCGCGGUAAUAC